UUGUGCUUAAUAGCUCUGUUUAAUUCAUUCAGAGACUACACGAUUUUUGUUGCUAUAUUUUGUUAGAAAGGAAGGAGAGGCUGUUUCUACAGGUGUCAUAGAAAAAUCAAUAUUGAGCCACGGAUUAUUGGAUCCCAUAGAACCAUGGAGACUUGGCAGUGAAAUUCUUCCAAAGUUUCUCCUAGAUUUUGAAAAGUUGAAAAGCUCAACAUAACGCAUUGGUUGUUUUCCUGCAUUGCUUAGCAUUCCAUCCUUGCAGGCAGACGGUGUUCCUAGGUUUGGAAGGAUAAAUCCCAGGGGAAGUGAGCUGAAGAACAUUUCAUGCAUCACUCAUCCUAUUAUGAGCCCUGUGCUGUUCCAUCUCUCUACAAGGCUGGCUGAAACAACAACAGAAAUUGGUGUGUAAUUCGUAUUCUAACUUUGGAUCACCUGGUUAAUACUCUGACUCUGACUACCCAGAAGGACAAUGUUCUAUAAGAAGAACUAUCUGUUAAAAGGCCUGCUGCUGCAUUAUUAAUAAAAUAACAGGGAAAAUGCGAUAAUCUGGAUGUCCCAUCUGAUGAGUUGGCAGUUAAAGAACCGAAACAGCAAUAAGACUGCGCAGGCACAUUUUCCCAGUGCCACCAACUGGGCGUUAAGCUGACUAACGUGUUGAAAGCCCAGCCCAUUUCGUUCACAGCAGGCA